UACGUAGGUGGCAAGCGUUGUCCGGAUUUACUGGGCGUAAAGGGCGUGCAGGCGGUUUGUUAAGUGCAGGGUGAAAGCUCCCGGCUCAACUGGGAGAGGUCCUUGCAUACUGGCGAACUCGAGGGAGGCAGAGGAAAGUGGAAUUCCCGGUGUAGUGGUGAUAUGCGUAGAUAUCGGGAGGAACACCUGUGGCGAAGGCGGCUUUCUGGGCCUUACCUGACGCUGAGGAGCGAAAGCAUGGGGAGCGAACAGG
rnacentral:rRNA from 1 species